rnacentral:lncRNA from 1 species
UGAUUUUAACAUGUAAUUUUUUUCCAGUCGAAAGCGCCCGAAAGAGUGGUGCUCGUACACCAUAACUUAUUCUUCUGUGAACUUGAGCUUGAUUCUUAAUAUAGCUGUGAGGAUGCAAUUGUUGUUAUUUAACUGGGUCUGGGAAGUGCAACGAAAUAUGGUGUUGCCCCCACAAAUCAUUCAUCGAAUGUCUUCAAUGCCUAGGUUGAUUGCGGUUGCAAUUGAUAGGGAUAAAGGAAGCCAAAUUUUGAUCCAUGUUAAAGCAAAAAAGAGUUCACUGUUUUUGGCUACAUCCGCAUCUCUUCCUUUACCAAGUAAAUCUCUCUCUGUCUGUGUCUGUGGGUAGUGUACAUAUUUGUGGAGUUGCUUGCCUGCAAAUUGUAGUACUGGUGUUUUGGCUCGGGCGGGACGGUAGUAUGGACUUGGGGGUGGGGUGUUGGUGUUUUGAGUAAUUUUUUGUUUCCAUGCACAUUUGAAUAGGUUUCAUUUUUUGUAAGCAAAAGAAUCUACUUAUUUUGGUAGUAAGUUAAAAGGUUAGUUUCAAAUCAGCUCGAUUAGUAUAUAAUCAAUUUGCAAAAUUGAGAUUGGCAUGGGAAUGAUUUGGUAAGAGAUUGAGGCCAUGUCCUCCACGUUGCUUUUAUAUUUUUAGUAACAUUCAAUUGAAUAUUGUUCGAGGAUUGAUACGUUUUCAUAAAAUAAAGAGUUCUGAAGUUAUCAUACUUAAGAUUUAGAUACAAAAUAUAUGUUGCAUUAAUUAAAAUUAUCAUAUUUGUUGAGACUUUCCAUCAGUUAAAGUGUUUGGUUUCUUUUAGUGUGUAUAAGCAGUUACCAGUUAAAAUUCACACAAAGUCAAACAGGUUUAAAUUUUUACAAUCUAGUCAUUGUAAAUAUUAUCAUAUUUUAGUGAGUUUAAUUUUCGUUUUGAUUAUUGUUUUGGAAGUUUAGGUAGAUGAUGGGGAUAAUUUUGUCAUUACAUUCUAAGUUGUUUGUCCUUGGCCUAUGUUGGUGGUUUUUUCGUUGGUCGUUAGCUUUUACAUUAUAUUUAUUCAGUUCAAAUGAUAAUACUUAUCUAGUGAGAAUUAUGUUAGUUGAAAUUUUUGCUAUCUUGUUAGCAUCAACAGACUGCAAUGGAUUAAAGAAGUUGGCCUUGGAGGAGAAAAUCAUCCGAUAAGCAAGUGGCUGAGAAAGAACCCCUUGUUAUCCUUUUUUUUUUUUUUUCUUUUUUUGGGAAAAUGUAUUGAAUUUUUAAGUGUUUUAGAAUUUUGGAUUUGGAUUUGGAUUUUGUACGAAUAUUGUUACAUUUUAAAGUUCAAUUAAUAAUGAUUAUUGGAGUUAUUUGAUAU